AUUGAACGCUGGCGGCAUGCCUUACACAUGCAAGUCGAACGGCAGCACGGACUUCGGUCUGGUGGCGAGUGGCGAACGGGUGAGUAAUGCAUCGGAACGUACCCGGUAGUGGGGGAUAACUACCCGAAAGGGUGGCUAAUACCGCAUAUACUGUGCGCAGGAAAGCAGGGGACCUUCGGGCCUUGUGCUACCGGAGCGGCCGAUGUCAGAUUAGGUAGUUGGUGGGGUAACGGCCUACCAAGCCUGCGAUCUGUAGCGGGUCUGAGAGGAUGAUCCGCCACACUGGGACUGAGACACGGCCCAGACUCCUACGGGAGGCAGCAGUGGGGAAUUUUGGACAAUGGGCGCAAGCCUGAUCCAGCCAUGCCGCGUGAGUGAAGAAGCCUUCGGGUUGUAAAGCUCUUUCGGACGGAAGGAAAUCGCGCAGGCUAAUACCCUGUGCGGAUGACGGUACCGUCAUAAGAAGCACCGGCUAACUCUGUGCCAGCAGCCGCGGUAAUACAGAAGGUGCGAGCGUUAAUCGGAUUUACUGGGCGUAAAGCGCGCGUAAGUGGCUAAUUAGUCAAAUGUGAAAUCCCC
rnacentral:rRNA from 1 species